AGUAAAGUGGCGUACGGGUGAGUAACACGUAGAUCAUCUACCUCUUGGUGGGGAAUAACCCUGGGAAACCGGGGCUAAUACCGCAUAAGCCUGCAAAGGGAAAGCAGCAAUGCGCCGAGAGAGGAGUCCGCGGCCGAUUAGCUUGUUGGUAGGGUAAUGGCCUACCAAGGCAAUGAUCGGUAGCCGGCCUGAGAGGGCACACGGCCACACUGGCACUGAAACACGGGCCAG
rnacentral:rRNA from 1 species